CCUCGUUCUAUCCAGCUGGCUUAGUGCUCAUCUGGACGAAUGAGCAUGUUGUACCAGAAUAAGUCCCUACAGGUACAGAGGUCCUCAUGUUUCCAUCCAGUCUCACUGAUUUGAUACAUGCUUUGUCCUUAGCAAGGAGACCUGGAUGCUUCUAGACCGAAAUAUUCCUUGGAUAGAUACCUGAAGCCACUAACAAGAAGUGCUUCUUUCUGCCUGUGCUUUAGAGUGCUCUCAGCUCCAUGGGCUGAGAUUUAGUAGUGCAUUACCAGCCUACAUAGACAUUGGACAGAACAUCUUUCUUCAGUGUUCUUGUCCUUUGAGUUCUGAUUGUGACGUCCACGCAAACAGGCCUGGUGGAGCUGAGGGGCCACAAACUUAGGGAAAAGUAUGACAGAUCUUGCCAUCAGAAGUAUCACAGACUUCUUUUUCCCCUGAGAAUGUCCUUCUACUGCUCUUCAUCUUCCAUCAACCUUUGUAGUCUGCAAAAGUUAUUCCACUUAAAAUAAAGUUAUUCUGCCCCACACUUUUUUUUCCCUAUCACUUCGCUGAUCCUGCUUACUGCAUGAUUUCACAAAUAAUCAGAGUAGAGGCAAUGAAAGUGGUGGUCAGGAUUAGGUCUCAGGGCAGCGGCCACAAUUGCUAAGAAAGCCAUGAGCUGAGCCAGGCCACAAAUCCCUGAACGUUAAAUGAGACAGGUUAAGAGUGAGUGGAGGGUUACCCUUGCCCCAGAAAUUAAGAAGGAUGAUAGUGAAAAAGAGGAGUAUGGUUGCAGUUUUCAGUGACUAGCGGAAACUCUGAAGGAUUGUAACAUGGUGCCUAGCCAAGGAUAGCAGUUGCUCUACAUCAGUAUGUGGUGUCACAUUAAGAGCUGGCUGUUGUGAGCCCUGCAAAGUUCUGGCAUGUCUUCUGCAGAUUCACAGCUAACCUGCCAUCAACAGCAUGAGCACAAUGGGUGAAUGCUGCUCGUGCAAGAAUAAAGAAUAAAUAAGCUCCACCUUAAAUAAGAAACAAUC
ensembl:lncRNA